ensembl:lncRNA
GUCGGUGAUGCUUAUUGGCUGAACAAGUUCCUGUGCCGGGUUUCACUUUAGCUAACGUACACUGAAGCAUCACCACUUCCUCCCGCUACUUCUGCAUAAUGCGCCUUUCUCAUGAAGAAGAACAGCUCUCUCUGCGAGGUUUUGUAGGAGUUCCUGACUGUACAGUAAAUCAGCUGUGCCAUGAACAGGUGUGAUAAUCUAAGGCUGAUUGGCAUUUAUCAACAUACACGUGAGUGGAGUCAUCAGCGUUAAGGAAACCUUUAUUUAAAUCUGUUGGGAAUGUUUUUCUUUAGCGUUGGCAUAUAAAAGGAUUUACACACAAAGCUUUGUUCAAUGAUUGAUAAGUGAG